GACGAACGCUGGCGGCGUGCUUAACACAUGCAAGUCGAGCGGUAAGGCCCUUUCGGGGGUACGACGAGCGGCGAACGGGUGAGUAACACGUGGGUGACCUGCCCUCAGCUCUGGGAGUAAGCCUGGGAAACCGGGUCUAAUAACCGGAUAUGACUCCAUGACGCAUGUUGUGGGGUGGAAAGCCUUGUGCGGCUGAGGAUGGGCCCGCGGCCUAUCAGCUUGUUGGUGGGGUGAUGGCCUACCAAGGCGACGACGGGUAGCCGGCCUGAGAGGGCGACCGGCCACACUGGGACUGAGACACGGCCCAGACUCCUACGGGAGGCAGCAGUGGGGAAUCUUGCGCAAUGGGCGAAAGCCUGACGCAGCGACGCCGCGUGAGGGAUGACGGCCU
rnacentral:rRNA from 1 species